GUGCCGCGAUCUGGCGGAGGCCGAUAAGUGGCGCUAGCAAAUCAUGCGCGAAAUCGGACAGAGUGCGUUCUCCGAUCAUUCCAGAGUGCAUUCUCCGAUCAUUGCCUGUUAAUUUCCCGCGCCGAUCUGAGCAAUUGAAGGAGAUUGAUGAGGAGUUAAAGGAUGAGUCAAGUAUUUGAAGGUUAUGAGCGGCAAUACUGUGAGAUAUUCUGACAUGGUUGGAGAAGCGGCGGCAGGAUAGAAUCUGGAACGAGAAGCGGCGGCGGAGGCUGGAGAAUCUUCUCGACGCGGCGGAGCGGCCAGAAUCUAAUGACUUCAUGGAGCUACCGCCUCGAUCGGGAGAGAAAGAGGCGAAUUUUUUCUGCAUACUUACAAAUUAGGCUAUUCCGAUGGCGAGAAGCUGCUGAGGAGUCGGAAGCUGAAGAAGGCACCGGUGAAGGCGAAAUCAGCGGUGGUUUCGGCGUUGGAAUUUGUCUGCGGCGGCGCGUUGAGAUCCUGCAAUUUCAGAGCAGCUAUUCAGGCUGCGUCUCCUCAUCGAGCUACUAAGUUUGGUGGAUGAGGAUGAAUUUUUGGGGAUGAAUUGAGAGUUGGAUUUUGGAUUUGUUUGAUAAAUUUCAGGAUAGAGAGAACUUCGCGACGAAGACAUGGUUGGGAUAUUUGACAAUUCUAGUUAAUUCUGGGGCUAAUUCUUCGAUUGAGUUUGAAAUUGAAAUUAA